rnacentral:ncRNA from 2 species
CUCUUAUAAAGAGAGGCGGAGGGAAGUGCCCUAUGAAGCCCGGCAACCAUCACAUUUGUGGAAAGGUGCCAAAUCACUCAAAGUUUUAACUUUGACAGAUAAGAG